GCUCUGAACCUUGAUUGCCAUGGCCACAGCUCAGUCACCACCUACCAAGGUCCCACCAGCUGCACAAGUCCUGGCAUGGCACUAGCAGAAGGGAGAUUACUGGGGAAAAGAUGUGCUCCAAGUUGAAAUGAAGUAGGCCAAAGAGUAACUAAAAACUGUUCAAAACUACAGAGUUCUUCUGUCAAAACAAACACAGGAAAUAAUUUUUAAAUCAUUAGUGUGAUUUCAUUAUAACCCUAGUCUUGUUUUUCACAGGAUUUUUAGUAAGUAUAUUAAAGGUCCUCAUCACUAGUCAUUAUGUUAAAACCUGCACAACAAACAGAUGUGAAUUGACAUUAGUAACAUCAAGGGAUGCAGAGUGUAAGGGAGGACAGUGUUUUAAGGUGACUGAAGUCAAAUUAUUACCAGCUCAUGUUAAGAUGUUAUACAUUUAGUGUGUUAUAUUUCAACCCAAUUUCACCAAAACAAAGGAAAUAAUAAGCUGUCAUAUGCACAGGAAAAGAGAAAAUGAGAAGGAAAUAAAAAUAUUUUACCCCAAAAUCCAUUAAAGAUAAAGGAGGAGAUAGACAAAAAGACAUGAGGC
rnacentral:lncRNA from 1 species